CCUACGGGGGACAGCAGUGGGGAAUAUUGCGCAAUGGGCGAAAGCCUGACGCAGCGACGCCGCGUGAGGGAUGAAGGUCUUCGGAUCGUAAACCUCUGUCAGCAGGGAAGCACGGUCACUGUGCUAAUCAGCAGUGAAUUGACGGUACCUGCAAAGGAAGCACCGGCUAACUCCGUGCCAGCAGCCGCGGUAAUACGGAGGGUGCGAGCGUUAAUCGGAAUUACUGGGCGUAAAGCGCUCGUAGGCGGUAUGUCAAGUCAAGGGGGAAAUCCACGCGCUCAACGUGGGAACUGCCUUUGAAACUGGCAAACUGGAGUGUGUGAGAGGAUAGUGGAAUUCCAGGUGUAGGAGUGAAAUCCGUAGAUAUCUGGAGGAACAUCAGUGGCGAAGGCGACUAUCUGGCACAUAACUGACGCUGAGGAGCGAAAGCGUGGGUAGCAAACAGGAUUAGAUACCCUAGUAGUC
rnacentral:rRNA from 1 species